rnacentral:rRNA from 1 species
CUUUUAGCAGUGAGGAAUAUUGGUCAAUAGCCUAACGGCUGAACCAGCAACUUGGAGGAAUGUAUAGCAAUAGCUACUUGCAUCAUUGUAGAGAUGAUGCAAGAUCGACUAUGUCGAAUAAAAUUCUAGGUAGAAUUAUGAUAAUGACAUUGUCUGCCUAUGUGUCUUGACCAAAUUACGUGCCAGCAGUCGCGGUAAUACGUAGAAGACUAGUGUUAUUCAUGAUUAAUCGGUUUAAAGGGUACCUAGACGGUAAAUCAAGCCUAAAAUUAAAUGAAGGGACUAUUUUACUAGAGUUACUUAUGAGGGGGUAUUAAAGUACUGCUGGUGUAGAGAUGAAAUUCUGUCAUACCUCUUUUCAAUAGAAAAAUAAUGGCACAGGUAUAGGCGAAAGCAUCCCCUUAUGUGAUAACUGACGUUGAGGGACGAAGGCUUUGUGUAGCGAACAGGAUUAGAUACCCCAGUAGUCAAAGCAGAAAAUGAUGAAUGUCAUAGAUUAGAUAAGUAAGUUUAUUCUAUAAAUGAAAGUGUAAGCAUUCCACCUCAAGAGUAAUUUGGCAACAUUGGAACUGAAAUCAUUAGACCGUUUCUGAAACCAGUAGUGAAGUAUGUUGUUUAAUUUGAUGAUCCGCAAAAAACCUUACCACAAUUUGAAUAUUUAUAUCUUAUAUUGUUUUCUUUUUAAUUUUCUUCUGAAUUUUCUCUUCUUUUCCUUCCUUUCAUUGAAAGGAAAAGAAGGAAAAGAUGAAAAAAGAACAAAAUCAGUAUAAGAAAAAAGAGACAAUAUGAUAUAUUUACAAGCGUUGCACGGCUGUCUUCAGUUUAAUGUCGCGAGACUUUGGUUAGUUCCAUUAAAUUAACGUAAACCCUUACUUUAUUUUUAUAUAGAGUAGUUCCCCGCUAGAUUGGAUAUGAUAACAGGGGACUAGACAAGUCAUCAUGGCUAAUAUUGUGGGCUAUAGACGUGCCAAUAC